GGAAGAGUCCGCACGAAUCGGAUUUUUUGAGGAACAACAUGUCGAGAGAGAAUUGGAUUUGGUUAGACAAUGUGUGGUUGGUAAACAAGGAUCGGUUUUUUAGCAAGGUACGGAAUGUAUCAUCAAAUAUUCAAUAUGAUUCCACGAGAUCUAGUUUCAUUCAAGUAACGGGUUCUAGCCAAUUGAAAGGAUCUUCUGAUCAAUCCAAGGAUUAUUUCGAUUCCAUUAGGAAUGAGGAUUCGAAAUAUCACACAUUGAUCAAUCAAAGAGAGAUUCAACAACUAAAAGAAAGAUCGAUUCUUUGUUGGGAUCCUUCCUUUCUUCAAACGGAACGAACAGAGAUAGAAUCAGAGCGAUUCCCUAAAAUCCUUUCUGGAUAUUCCUCAAUGUGCCGACUAUUCAUGGAACGUGAGAAGCAGAUGAAUAAUCAUCUGCUUCCGCAAGAAAUCGAAGAAUUUCUUGGGAAUCCUGCAAGAGCUACUCGUUCUUUUUUCUCUGACAGAUGGUCAGAACUUCAUCUGAGUUCGAAUCCUACUGAGAGGUCUACUAGAGAUCAGAAAUUGUUGAAGAAAGAACAAAAGAAACAUCUUGUUCUUUCCAGGCGAUCGGAAAAUAAAGAAAUAGUGAAUUUAUUCAAGAUAAUUAUGUACUUACAAAAUACCGUCUCAAUUCAUCCUAUUUCAUCAUAUCCGGGAUGUGAUAUGGUUCCAAAGGGUGAACUGGACAGUUCCAAUAAGAUUUCAUUCUUGAACAAAAAUCCAUUUUGGGGUUUAUUUCAUCUAUUCCAUGACCGGAACAGUGGGAGAUACACGUUACACCACGAUUUUGAAUCAGAAGAGAUAUUUCAAGAAAUGGCAGAUCUAUUCACUCUAUCAAUAACCGAGCCGGAUCUGGUGUAUCAUAAGGGAUUUGCUUUUUCUAUUGAUUCCUCCGGAUUGGGUCAAAAACAUUUCUUGAAUGAGUUAUUCAACUCCAGGGAUGAAUCGAAAAAUCACUCUUUAUUGGUUCUACCUCCUCUUUUUUAUGAAGAGAAUGAAUCUUUUUAUCGAAGGAUCAUAAAAAAAUGGGUCCAGACCUCUUGCGGGAAUAAUUUGGAAGAUCCAAAACCUAAAAUAGUUGUAUUUACUAGCAACAACAUAAUGGAGGCAGUCAAUCAAUAUAGAUUGAUCCGAAAUCUGAUUCAAAUCCAAUAUAGCACCCAUGGUUACAUAAGAAAUGUAUUGAAUCGAUUCAAUUGCAACUUCGAAUAUGGAAUUCAAAGGUAUCAAAUAGGAAAUGAUACUCUGAAUCAUCGAACUAUAAUGAAAUACACGAUCAACCAACAUUUAUCCAAUUUGAAAAAGAGUCAGAAGAAAUGGUUCGAUCCUCUUAUUUUUAUUUCUCGAACGGAGAGAUCCAUGAAUCGGGAUCCUAAUGCAUAUAGAUACAAAUGGUCCAAUGGGAGCAAGAAUUUCCAGGAACAUUUGGACUAUUUCAUUUCUGAGCAGAAUAGCCGUUUUCAAGUAGUGUUCGAUCGAUUCCAUAUUAAUCAAUAUUCGAUUGAUUGGUCUGAAGUUAUCGACAAAAAAGAUUUGUCUAAGUCACUUUGUUUCUUUUUGUCCAAGUUACUUCUUUUUUUGCCCAAGUUUCUUCUCUUUUUGUCUAACUCACUUCCUUCUUUUUUCUUUGUGAGUUUUGGGGGUAUCCCCAUUCAUAGGUCCGAGAUCCACAUCUAUGAAUUGAAAGGUCCGAAUAAUCCACUCUGUAAUCAGUUAUUAGAAUCAAUAGGUCUUCAAAUCUUUCAUUUGAAAAAAUGGAAACCCUUAUUAUUGGAUGACCAAGAUACUUCCCAAAAAUCGAAAUUCUUGAUCAAUGGAGGAACAAUAUCACCAUUUUUGUUCAAUAAGAUACCAAAGUGGAUGAUUGACUCAUUCCAUACUAGAAAGAAUCGCAGGAAAUCUUUUGAUAACACAGAUUCCUAUUUCUCAAUGAUAUCCCACGAUCCAGACAAUUGGCUGAAUCCCGUGAAACCAUUUCAUAGAAGUUCAUUGAUAUACUCUUUUUAUAAAGCAAAUCGACUUCGAUUCUUGAAUAAUCAAUAUCACUUCUGCUUCUAUUGUAACAAAAGAUUCCCUUUUUAUGUGGAAAAGGCCUGUAUCAAUAAUUAUGAUUUUACGUAUGGACAAUUCCUCAAUAUCUUGUUCAUUCGCAACAAAAUCUUUUCUUUUUGCGAUGGUCAAAAAAAACAUGCUUUUUUGAAGAGAGAUACUAUUUCACCAAUCGAGUCACAGGUAUCUAACAUAUUGAUACCUAACGAUUUUCCACAAAGUGGCGACGAAGGGUAUAACUUGUACAAAUCUUUCCAUUUUCCAAUUCGAUACGAUCUAUUCGUUCGUGGAGCUAUUUACUCGAUCGCAGACAUUUCUGGAACACCUCUAACAGAGGGACAAAUAGUCCAUUUUGAAAAAACUUAUUGUCAACCUCUUUCAGAUAUGAAUAUACCUGAUUCAGAAGGGAAGAACUUGCAUCAGUAUCUCAAUUUCAAUUCAAACAUGGGUUUGAUUCACACUCCAUGUUCUGAGAAAUAUUUACCAUCCGAAAAAAGGAAAAAACGGAGUCCUUGUCUAAAAAAAUGCCUUGAGAAAGGGCAGAUGUAUAGAACCUUUCAACAAGAUAGUGUUUUUUCAACUCUCUCAAAAUGGAAUCUAUUCCAAACAUAUAUACCAUGGUUCCUUACCUCGACAGGGUACAAAUAUCUAAAUUUCAUAUUUUUAGAUACUUUUUCAGACCUAUUGCCGAUACUAAGUAGCAGCCAAAAAUUUGUAUCCAUUUUUCAUGAUAUUAUGCAUGGGUCAGAUAUAUUAUGGCGAAUUCGUCAGAUUCCAUUGUGUCUUCCACAAUGGAAUCUGAUAAGUGAGAUAUGGAAUCUGAUAAGUGAGAUUCCGGGUAAUUGUUUACAUAAUCUUCUUCUGUCCGAAGAAAUUAUUCAUCGAAAUAAUGAGUUACUAUUAAUAUCGACACAUCUGAGAUCGCUAAAUGUUCAGGAGUUCUUCUAUUCAAUCCUUUUCCUUCUCCUUGUUGCUGGAUAUCUCGUUCGUACACAUCUUCUCUUUGUUUCUCGAGUCUAUAGUGAGUUACAGACAGAGUUCGAAAAGGUAAAAUCUUUGAUGAUUCCAUCAUACAUGAUUGAGUUGCGAAAACUUCUGGAUAGGUAUCCUACAUCUGAACUGAAUUCUUUCUGGUUAAAGAAUCUCUUUCUAGUUGCUCUGGAACAAUUAGGAGAUUCUCUAGAAGAAAUACGGAGUUUUGCUUUUGGUGGCAACAUGCUAUGGGGUGGUGGUCCCACUUAUGGGGUCAAAUCAAUACGUUCUAAGAAGAAAUAUUUGAAUCUCAUCGAUCUCAUAAGUAUUAUACCAAAUCCCAUCAAUCGAAUCGCUUUUUCGAGAAAUACGAGACAUCUAAGUCAUCCAAGUAAAACAAUCUAUUCCUUGAUAAGAAAAAUAAAAAACGUGAAUGGUGAUUGGAUUGAUGAUAAAAUAGAAUCCUGGGUCUUGAACAGUAAUUCGAUUGAUGAUAAAGAAAGAGAAUUCUUGGUUCAGUUUUCUACCUUAACGACAGAAAAAAGGAUUGAUCAAAUUCUAUUGAGUCUGACUCAUAGUCAUCAUUUAUCAAAGAAUAACUCUGGUUAUCAAAUGAUUGAACAACCGGGAGCAAUUUACUUACGAUAUUUAGUUGACAUUCAUAAAAAGUAUCUAAUGAUUUAUGAAUUCAAUACAUCCUGUUUAGCAGAAAGACGUAUAUUCCUUGCUAAUUAUCAGACAAUUACUUAUUCACAAACCUUGCGGGGGGCUAAUAGUUUUCAUUUCCCAUCUCAUGGAAAACCCUUUUCGCUCCGCUUAGCCCUACCUCCCCCUAGUAGGGGUAUUUUAGUGAUAGGUUCUAUAGGAACUGGACGAUCCUAUUUGGUCAAAUACCUAGCGACAAACUCCUAUGUUCCUUUCAUUACAGUAUUUCUGAACAAGUUCCUGGAUAACAAGCCUAAGGGUUUUCUUAUUGAUGAUAGUGACGAUAUUGAUGAUAGUUACGAUAGUGACGAUAUCGACCGUGACCUUGAUAUGGAGCUGGAGCUUCUAACUAUGAUGAAUACGCUAACUAUGGAUAUGAUGCCAGAAAUAGACCGAUUUUAUAUCACCUUUCAAUUCGAAUUAGCAAAAGCAAUGUCUCCUUGCAUAAUAUGGAUUCCAAACAUCCAUGAUCUGGAUGUGAAUGAGUCGAAUUACUUAUCCCUCGGUCUUUUAGUGAACUAUCUCUCCAGGGAUUGUGAAAGAUGUUCUACUAGAAAUAUUCUUGUUAUUGCUUCGACUCAUAUUCCCCAAAAAGUAGAUCCGGCUCUAAUAGCUCCGAAUAAAUUAAAUACAUGCAUUAAGAUACGAAGGCUUCUUAUUUCACAACAACGAAAACACUUUUUCACUCUUUCAUAUACUAGGGGAUUUCACUUGGAAAAGAAAAUGUCCCAUACUAAUGGAUUCGGGUCCACAACGAUGGGUUCAAAUGUACGAGAUCUUGUAGCACUUACCAACGAGGCCCUAUCGAUUAGUAUUAUACAAAAAAAAUCCAUCAUAGACACUAAUAUAAUUAGAUCUGUUCUUCAUAGACAAACUUGGGAUUUCCGAUCUCAGGUAAGAUCGGUUCAGGAUCAUGGGAUCCUUUUCUAUCAGAUAGGAAGGGCUGUUUCACAAAAUGUACUUCUAAGUAAUUGCUCCAUAGAUCCUAUAUCUAUCUAUAUGAAGAAGAAAUCAUGUGACGGGGGGGAUUCUUAUUUGUACAAAUGGUACUUCGAACUUGGAACGAGUAUGAAGAAAUUAACGAUACUUCUUUACCUUUUGAGUUGUUCUGCCGGAUCGGUCGCUCAAGACCUUUGGUCUCUACCCGGACCUGAUGAAAAAAAUGGGAUCACAUCUUAUGGACUCGUUGAGAAUAAUUCUGAUCUAGUUCAUGGCCUAUUAGAAGUAGAAGGCGCU
rnacentral:lncRNA from 1 species